rfam:Oryza sativa Japonica Group DNA, chromosome 12, cultivar: Nipponbare, complete sequence.
ACUACCUCCAUCCCAGAAUGGCCGCAUUUUUGUACAGUUUAUGUAUUUAAAAAUUUUUAUGAUUAGUAUUUUUAAUGUUAUUAGAGGAUAAAACAUGAAUAGUACUUUAUAUGUGACUAAUAUUUUUUAAAAAAUAUAUUAUAUUAAAAAAUAAGACGGACGGUCAAACAUUGGACACGGAAAUCCACAACUGCACAUAAA